rnacentral:rRNA from 1 species
GUGUCAGCCGCCGCGGUAAGACGUAGGGGGCGAGCGUUGUCCGGAUUUAUUGGGCGUAAAGCGCGCGCAGGCGGCCCGGAAAGUCGGAUGUGAAAACCCGGGGCUCAACCCCGGGCCUGCAUCCGAUACUCCCGGGCUGGAGGCAGGUAGGGGAGAUCGGAAUUCCUGGUGUAGCGGUGGAAUGCGCAGAUAUCAGGAGGAACACCGGUGGCGAAGGCGGAUCUCUGGGCCUGUCCUGACGCUCAGGCGCGAAAGCUAGGGGAGCAAACAGGAUUAGAUACCCUGGUAGUCCUAGCUGUAAACGUUGGGUGCUAGGUGUGGGAUGGCGUUUGACCCGUUCCGUGCCGUAGCUAACGCAUUAAGCACCCCGCCUGGGGAGUACGGCCGCAAGGUUAAA